GAGAGGUAUUAGUAAAAUUUACAUAACUUUGUCAAGGUUAAGUUAUAGGUUUAAUCCCUAUAUAUCUC
rnacentral:tRNA from 1 species